UACGGGUGAGGCAAGCGUUGUUCGGAAUCACUGGGCUUAAAGCGCGUGUAGGCGGCGCGGUCAGUACCUUGUGAAAGCCCUUCUCUCAAAGGAGGAAUUGCUGGGUAUACUGCCGUGCUUGAGGCAGAUAGGGGUGCUUGGAACUCUAGGUGGAGCGGUGAAAUGCGUAGAUAUCUAGAGGAACGCCAGUGGCGAAAGCGGAGCACUAGGCCUGUCCUGACGCUGAGACGCGAAAGCGUGGGUAGCAAACGGG
rnacentral:rRNA from 1 species